CGUAAAAGAGGGAAGGAAGAAAGAAAAUCGCAGCCAUACGGGCUACGCUCCCCUGGCUGAACUUUAUCUGCAUUUUAAUGGCGGGAGGAGGGAGAGGAGUGUGUGUCUUUGUGUGUGUGUCUAUGGGGGGGGUGGAUAAAGACGGCUAUAUGUGCUCCUCCCUCGCAUCAUAUGUCAGCCAUUAGUGCAUCUCAGAGAGCUGGCACAGCACAACGCAGUUUACUGAAGUGUAGUGGACUGCAAGACCGCUUCAACCUUUCAGACAAAAAUGAGGGGAAAACACGCAGCUCACCUUUAGGACCCGAGAGCAACCACUCAGACGACUUUGUGUAGGAGUGGCAAGCAAAAGAUGAUGCCGCCCACUCGUUGUCCGCCACCAGACUAACCAAUGGCCUUUUUGGACCAUGCAGUCAUUAGUCAAAGCUUUUAAGGGAGACCGCAGCCGCCCAAAAGCAUGAGCACGUCUGGGCUCGAUGGAGAUGAAACACGACGCGAGGGAAGACGAUAAAGAGUCACAGAACAUCUCGAUUCACGUUUGCAGGGAGCUCGCAAAAGACCUGAGUCAAAACAAAACUCGACGGGGGAGCAGCUGGUAAGAAUGUUGUCGUAAGAAUGUCAAGAGGCAUCGAUCUGUUCUCCGGCCAGAUGUGUUUUUAGCUAAGUAGGGUGAAAUCCGAACUUGGUAUCGAGCAAGUUCUCUUUGCUUCAUACACAAACGCUUGAUGACUUUCAGAUGUGACAGUCACGUUUCGUCUCGACCAAGAUCGUGGAAAUGAUUUUCUGUCCAAGUCCAAUUCCGUUUCUGUCAACUGGUUUCGCCAUCUCCGAGCAUGUACAACGUCUUUCACGUGGUUUCCUUUUUAAGUCAACAGCACUCCGAAGUGAUAUAGCACAUCGCCAUAAGUCAAAGUGAAAUGCCAAAACAACACAGUUCCGGCCUAAACAUUCCACAGAGGCCGACCCCCCCCCCCCCCCCCCCCCCUCCCUUCCCGCCUUGGGGCUACGCAACACAGACAAAAAUGAAAGAUCCUUGCACAAACAGCAUACGUCUCGAAAAACACGAACGGAUUUUGGCAGCAACGUCACAAAAUGGUUGACCUUUGACGUCGACAAAGAGCUGAACUUCCUCUUGCCGCUAAAUGCUAGCCAGCUGUGUUUCCACUCAGUCGACAGUUCUUAGAAAAGCUUCAAGAUCUCAAAACAUGGACACCAACAAACAGAUGCAAGAGUAAGACUGUAGGCUUGUUUUAUCAGGAUGAUGUUCAUUUCCGGGCUUUAACUAUCCCAACUGUCUCCCGUUACAGCUUUUUCGGCCUGUCGCUGGAUGGGAGUCUUCAGCUUCGUCUUAAGUAGAACUCAGUUCUGCAAAAUGGAGAGGCUACGUUUACAAAAUCCAGGUUCAAUGUCUACCUAAAGAAAUUCGACCGAUAAUAACAUUUGUAUUCAAAUUGAAAAGAUGAUUCUAUGAGCCCUAACUGGUUAUGAUUGCCAAUUCCAACUAGCGAUUAUUUAAAUAGUCGAUUAAUCUGAUGAUUAGUUUGCCGAUUAAUUGAUUAAUAUAAUUAAAAACACCGAUAGAAUAUUCCUUUUUAAUAUAUCCAACAAGAAGUUGAAAUUCCAAAUCAAAAAAUUUGGCUAAUUUCAAUUCAUCGAUUAAUUUGAUAAUCAAUUAGUUGUUAAUUAAUCGAUUACUAUUCGCACCUCUGAAAAAAGUCCUCUUGUAUUUACUGGCAAAUUCACUGCUAGCAGUUUGUAUUUUGGGAGUUCCAUUUUAAAUGGAACUAAAUAUAUUACUGUCUACAGAAAACAUCUGUUCUCCUCCCGUCCCGAAUGCGAACUAUGACCUUAAGCCCAAGGUACGUACCAAACUCUGAUUUUCAGUGUGCCGUUAAAGUUAAAUGCCAUGAGGUAAUUCCAAACUACAUAGUACCAGUCCAAAAGCUACUCGGGAGCAUGGACAGGUCUGAACGGCACCAGAUUCAGGCUCCACCGAGUCUGCAACGCUACCUUGUACGUGUAAGAAGCGCUCCCUCGGGUCUAAAAGGUGCUCGGAUGACGGACGUUGACAAAAACCAGACGACCCGUGACCUUGGUCAAAGAGGGGCCGCGGACACUUUGGUCCCUUCAGGAGCACCCUAAAGAAUUCCAGACCUCCACAUCCAGCCUCGUCUCAUUCGUCAUCAGGUCCUCUAGCCCGAAAUGAUCACAAUAGCCAUCGUGACUAACUGCAGAACUUGUCAUGAACAUUUUUUUAAUGCAAUGACAUUUGUCCUUUUAGGGCCACCAUCUCACCAAUUACUUGACACAAGCAUAAAAAAAAUGACCUUAUAGCUUUCCGUACUCACUUUUAAAAAAGGUAGGACAUGCAAAUUGCUCAGAAUUUCUGUUUUCAGGCCGCAUUGAUUUUAGGACAAAAAAAACUUUGUAGCCUUAACUGCCCCAUAGUAGGCCUAGUGGUUAGCACAAAGUUCUGAGAUCAAGUCUCAGCUCCUGUGUCAAAUGAAGACUCCAAAUCAGCGGUUCUCAAACAGAAAUGUGUUUGCCUUUACGUGAUUGGCUGGCAAAUAGUCGUAUGGGACGUACAGCCACCUUUGACCCCAAUUUUGUUGUACAAUGACAUUAAAGGCUUGAACAACUAAAAGGAGGUUGAAACGAGAAACAUGAGCCCAGUGAUGUCACAGGCAAUGGACGUAGCGAGUACGUGUGUGUGUAACAGGUUUAAAGGCAAGUUCUACCCUCAGGCCAAAGUCAAAUAUGUCAACGUUGCGCAUGUGGCUUUCAUUUGGGAUGAGUUCAGGGUCGCUGUGCGUCCGUUGGUGGGAACGCAGCUCACCAGGAAACGCCAUGUUUUUAUUAGAAGCCAGCAAAUGACUGAAAUUGAUCUUUUCCUGGCCAACUGAUCCCACGCGGAAGGCCAACAAUACACACACAGCUGACACUUUGGACAUUUUGAUUUUCUACCGUUUGUGCAAUAAAUACGCCGAUUGCUUGGAGUGUUUUCUUUGAACAAACACGAUUCAAUGUGCGAUGAUGGAGGGAACAAGAAAAGUCACGGCCAAUUCGGGUGAGUGAAGAAUCACCGCAAAUGCCUUGAAAUAAAGCUUCAAAUCAUCAUUCCCUAAACAGAGUAGUAGCAAAAUAAAAUGGGAUUUGAAACUACAGUCCAUCAUUCAUAAUUAUA